UACAGAGGGGUCAAGCGUUGUUCGGAUUCAUUGGGCGUAAAGGGUGCGUAGGCGGCGCGGUAAGUCGGGUGUGAAAUCUUGGAGCUUAACUGCGAAACUGCAUUCGAUACUGCCGUGCUUGAGGACUGGAGAGGAGACUGGAAUUUACGGUGUAGCGGUGAAAUGCGUAGAUAUCGUAAGGAAGACCAGUGGCGAAGGCGGGUCUCUGGACAGUUCCUGACGCUGAGGCACGAAGGCCAGGGGAGCAAACGGG
rnacentral:rRNA from 1 species